CAGAGAGACUCCUUCCCCAGCAGCGGACACCAUGUGACUCCGAGGGGCUGGCAGAUGCCGGGCAGGAGUGGCCCACAGCCCUGGCGGCUGGAGCCCUCAGCCUGGCCAGCUCAGCUCCACAGCCAGGGGCUGAGGCAGGCAGGACUCAGCGAAGGAGGCAUGGAGAGGCUCAGAGAUGGGCUUUUAGAAGUGCUGCUGUUUAAGGCGGUGAGAUGGGGCCUGGACAAUGCAAACUGUGCCCAGAGCUUCAGAAAAACCGGCAGUCAUUGAGGUUCCUUGGAUCCCAAGGUGAAGCAUGCUGUGUGGGCAACGGGGACGCUGAGGGCAGAAGGUCCCUCAGUCCAGCCUACAGCUGGGGCAGCCCUGACCACUGGCAGCCGCCCCACCCUGCAGGAUGGAGCCCAGAUCUUCAGCACUUGGAUAGCUCCCCACUGCUCCUCUGCCCCAGCAGGCUUCUCCAAAGUAAGUGGGAGAGCUCCCCUGGUGCAGGCAGGGGGCACAGAGAUGAGCCCAGAGCCACUCACCCAGGAGUCUGCUCAUGGCAUGAAUAGCUAAGAACGGGAGUCGGAGCCAGCUAGCCUGUGCUGAACCCAGCUUGCUGCCACCCCCAUGUCACCGUGGGUGAGUUACUCAAUCUUCCCAAGCCUCUGCUUCCUCAUCUGUGAAACAAGAGAGCCAAGUGACCAGACUAAGGUGCCUGAGAAGGGAGCCUCCGUGCCUCAAGGUUAUGGAAGAACAUUCGCUCACCGCCAUGAUGCAGCUUAUCACUCUGAGUCUGAAUCACAGACCCCUACCCAUCAUUCUGGAGUCAGCUGCUCCAUUGUUAGCUCCCUACACGGGCAGUGCUGGGCUGCAUUCCAGCCUUUGCCCUAGGGUGCAUCCUGGCAGGUCUGGGUCCAGGAAUCCUGGUGGCUGGGUUCACCAAAGACCUUAUCUCCUCCCAGAGUCACCCAAGAGCCUGCAUGGCCCUCUCUCUCCACCUCCAGGACAGGAUCAUCACUUUGAGGAAAUGAGAGCAGAAAAGGAAAUGGCUUGUCCAUAAAUCUUACUGUUAGCUCUGGACACCCACUUCUGUCAGACCCAGGAAGGACCAGGAGUGGAAAACACCAAUUGAUCUCACAGGUAUUCAUCUUGCUAAAAUCCUUUUAGAAAUGUGGGAAAGGGUUCCCAUUUUGCAGAAGAGAACACAGAGUCUCAGAGGGGUUCAGUAGCAGCUCCUAACUAUCCAGAAGUUGUCAGUGCCUGAAGUCAGUCCCUGGACCCCUGUCUACACAAGGGGGGCACCUUGCUGGACUGAGGCUGACUCAGAGGCCCCCAUCACCAUCUCCUCAGGCCCUUUUGCCUCAUCUGGGGUACAGGUAUGCCUGAAACCCUCAGGACAACCCCUCCCAGAGAGCCAACCCUCAGCAUCCAAGGAUUUGAGGACAGCUCUAAAUUCCUCCCAUCUGGCCUCAUGGGACAGAGAUACCUCUCCUGAGGGGCCCCAAAACUGCAGCCCCUUCCAGGGUCUUCUUGGAAAGAGCCCACUCCCUCCACCCCAUCCUGAGUGUGGCAGCAGGCAUGUGGCCCCAUGGCCAAAUUCUGCAUAGACUCUGUCUGCUCAGCCCCCAUCUUGAGAUCUGGCAGGCAGUGGGGCCCUGGGAGCAGGUGACCAUCCACCAGACCCAGAGCUAAGACUCUAGGCCCCGGCCAGGCCACCUCAGCCUGGACCCCCACUCACCCUGUCUGGCUCACAUCCCCCAAGCUGCCCCUCAUCUUCUGCCCCCAGAGCCAACAGAGCCCCACUUGGGAACUCUGUCCAGCUCUGGCCCCAGGGUUCACCCUGCAUGACCCUGAGGGCAGCUGCUCCAAGGCAGCCCCUUCCUGAACUCUCAGACAAAGCUAGAUCUGUGGUAGCUCAGGGCCCAAGAAGGACAAGGCCUGCAGGCUAGGCCAGUAUCCAACCUGACCCACCCACCUCAGGACUCAGGACCCACUGGGGCUGCGCCGGCAGGACAGAGUUCUUGGGAGAAGGAUGUCACUGCUGGGCCAGCCAGUCUUUCCAGGACACCUCUGUAACCCUGGUCCCCUAUCCAGGCCCUGCACAGAGCACUGUUGGAGCCCCAGGCCUGUGCUUGCAAGGACAGGGAACAGGGCCUGGCAGCCAGUGGCCCAGAAGACACCCCCGCCCCACCUCCACCCCUGCUGUGCUCAGAUGCAAGCGUGAACAUUGUCCCUUGCCUGGUCCUGUUUGCACUAUGGAGGCCUCGCUCACUCCUCAGCUAUUUCCUGAUCAUAGAAGUUGGAAAAUAUAGCUGAAUGGUCAGCCUGACAUGUGAAGUCCCCCUCGGUCUAGUGUUAUCAUGACCUGUGUUAUUGACACCACUCUAGAGCCUCCCAUCCCAGGCAGUGGGUCCCACCCACCCUGCCCAGGUGCCAGAGGGGCCAUGCUUAUAGCCCACGAGCCAUGGGGGUCUCUAUUGGCCAUCCUGCCUCCCCAUCACCUGGUGUGUGGCCUCUAGACUGUGUCAGACUCAGCUCAUUUGACAACAGGGUGUUUUUCCUUCAAACCAUGGGGUCACAUUAGUGACAAAUGCCAGCAGGGGCUGAGCCUACUCUGCAUUGGGCAGUGGCUCACAGGUGUAGCAUGCAAGAUGUCACAUUACCUUUGUGGUAACCUGCCGCUUCAGGAGUCAGAUAGCCAGCAGGAGCCUCAGCCUAGAGGGAUCAGGACCCUCUGCUGGGGGGGGAGGAAGAGGAAGAGAAAACAGUCAGCUCUUGAAACCCCCUUUGCUGCCCAAUGAGACCUCCACUCAGGAAGGAGGAAGUCAGAGAGAGCUGGCCCCUGGCCCAAUUGCAUCUCAAAAGCUCCUCCUCCCUAAGUCAGCUGAGUGUUUGUUCUCUGCCUUCUUGGUGUUCUGGCCCUUGGGGCUUCACUGACUGGAGGGAGGAAUGCACACAGAACCAACUCCUAGAGUUGUAAGCCACUUCUUCCUGCCUCUGCACCCUUUUAUCAGAACUCUGGGCACCGUAGUCCCUACUCUCAUUCUUCCUGGGCAGGAACCAGAUACCAGGAACAGCCCCCAGGCCUCAGAGCUCAGAAACCACUCAAACUUGCCAGUCCCAAGCCCACUUACCCUCCUACCAUCCCUUCCUAUGAAAACCACAAUUCUUUCCCUAGCCCCUGCCUCCCUACCUCUGACUCCUGACUGACCCCACUGCUUUCCCAUGGGAUCCCACACAUUGGUGUUUGGGGUGACAGCUCCAGGCUUUGGGUCAGCCCUGGUUCCAGUGGCCCAAGAUCAGCUUGAAGGCAUUCAGACCUGUGUGUGCUGAGAGAUGGAAAGGGGCCCCAGAGGUGACAUCACACCCAGGCAAACAGAGAAGGGGAGGGUGGUCUGGGGGCAAUUGCACCUGGGUGACCCAUCAGAAGGGUGGCAGGUGAGGAGGCCCUGAGCCACCUGAAGACUGGGCCAUGCAAGCUUGGCCUUUGAAAAUCAAGUGCAGUGGCACUGAGAGCCAGGAGGGGUGGCUCAGCCUAGAACUUCAGGCCAUGCAGAAUGAGUACACCACAUGGCACAGGCCAAUGAUUUGUGUUAAAGAAAUGGUUUCCAAAGCCAAAUUUCUUUGAGAAGUAUUAGGCCAAACAGCACCUUUUUGGAUGUGAUUCCUGAUGUGUUGACCCUAAGUGUUCUGUGUAUUCCCAGUCAGGAAUCACAAAACAAAAUCCCCAAAGGAGCCAAGGCAUUUCUAGUUUCAUCAUUCUGCAGAAGAAAAUUUGGAAAAGCAUCCAUCAAGUCAAGGCCAGGGGCCCCCUUGGUCUGUGCAGGCAGACAAAUAGUUUGGGGGGGGGCGGGGCUGGAAGGUGUGAGGUGUGUACAGGAUAUCCCUGGAAGUCCUGGCUCAAUGUGGAAAAAGUCCCAAGCCACCACCUACAGUACCCAGACACUGAGUUGUCCUAAAUGGUCAAUCCAGUGAAAGGAGGAAAGGAAACUGAAACACAGACAGGUUUGGGUAUUUUCUCAAGGCCAUACAGCCAGAAAGUGUCAAGUCAGAAGUGGCUUCCACAUCUGUACCUAUCAUUCGUGGCUCACAGUGCCUCUGCAGCCCCCAUAGGCUGCUAGGAGCUGCCUCCUAUCAGAGGAGCGGCUGGAAGUGUGGUUCAGUCCCUGCUAGACAUAGAGUCCCCAGGCUGCUCCCUCCCUGCACAACCCAGGUGCUGUGAGUUCAGGGGCCACCCAGGUGUGGCGUCAGCUUGACAUGACUGCAACCAUCUGGAGCUGUAACCAUCCUGCCUCUCCUGAGUGACUCUAGUCGGUUUUCCUGCAUAUUUUCCCAGCAAACUAUAAUGCAUAAAUCCAAAAGGUUGAUACACAGAGCUUUGCAACUAGACCUUUUGCAAGGAUGUGCCCAAUUCCUCAGUUCCAGCCAGAAUGAAAUCACUUUUGUCCUGACCAAUAAAUAUGCCCCUCUUUCUGACCCAAAUUGCAGGCAUCCAACUGGUCUUGCUGCCACAUAGGACCAUGCUUCUGUCUGUAAGGCCCCAAUAAAUUUCACUCUGC
ensembl:lncRNA